rnacentral:miRNA from 1 species
GGAAAAGGAUGACGAGGAUUAA